rnacentral:rRNA from 1 species
AUUGAACGCUGGCGGAAUGCUUUACACAUGCAAGUCGAACGGCAGCACGGACUUCGGUCUGGUGGCGAGUGGCGAACGGGUGAGUAAUGUAUCGGAACGUGCCCAGUCGUGGGGGAUAACGUAGUGAAAAUUACGCUAAUACCGCAUGCGAUCUAUGGAUGAAAGCGGGGGAUCGCAAGACCUUGCGCGAUUGGAGCGGCCGAAAUCAGAUUAGGUAGUUGAUGGGGUAAAGGCCCACCAAGCCAACGAUCUGUAGCUGGUCUGAGAGGACGACCAGCCACACUGGAACUGAGACACGGUCCAGACUCCUACGGGAGGCAGCAGUGGGGAAUUUUGGACAAUGGGCGAAAGCCUGAUCCAGCCAUUCCGCGUGCAGGAUGAAGGCCCUCGGGUUGUAAACUGCUUUUGUACAGAACGAAAAGGUUUCUACUAAUACUAGGAGCUCAUGACGGUACUGUAAGAAUAAGCACCGGCUAACUACGUGCCAGCCGCCGCAGUAA